rnacentral:rRNA from 1 species
AACGAACGCUGGCGGCAGGCCUAACACAUGCAAGUCGAGCGGCCACACUCGGAUGUUUGCGGCGUACGGGUGAGUAAUGCGUGGGAACGUGCCCUUAGCUCCGGAUUAGCCUUUGGAAACUGGGAGACAUACCGGAUGUACCCCUUGUGGGAAAGAUUGAACGGCAAAGGAUGGGCCCGCGCUGGGUUAGUUAGGUGGUGGGGUAAUGGCCUACCAAGUCGACGAUCCAUAGCUGGUUAGAGAGGAUGAGCAGCCACACUGGGACUGAGACACGGCCCAGAAUCCUACGGGAGGCAGGAGUGGGGAAUCUUAGACAACGGGGGAAACCCUGAUCUAGCCCUGCCGCGUAAGCCAUGAAGGCCUUAGGGAUGUGAAGCUCUUUCACCGGGGAAGAUAAUGACGGUACCCGGAGAAGAAGCCCCGGCUAACUCCGUG